rfam:Rattus norvegicus chromosome 10, whole genome shotgun sequence.
AGAUGUGAGGGCAACCGGCUGUGACCUCUGUCACCCCACUGAUUACCAGAGUUGACUCAGCUGAUCUAGGUGGCCAGAUAGGUGUUCCUAUUCUCCAUGUAUGUCCCUUGCCCACACAGAUGGGGACCAGUCUUUGCCUGCUAGAACCUCCAGAUAAACUUCCACAUGCUGAGCCAACAAACCCAGCUGUUUACCAUACACACACACAUAUGCAUGUGUGCAUGCAUGU